CAUCUUUUCUUUCUUGAGAGAUAACAGCAGUGGGUAAAUGAAGAACCCUCGCGUGCUGGGCUUUCCAUUAAGCGCACAAUUAGAUAAAUGCAAGAGCCUUUUUAUCUACCCUGCUUUAACACUUGUACAGUCUGUUUAAACAGAACGCCGUGUGUGCCUAGGAAUGGGCGCCAUGACUGAAGCUGCAGAAAUUUAAACCCAUUUCUGCCACCUGCGGUCUCCGCUCCGGCUUUGUUCGGCUUGAGAUAACGAAGCAAACGGGUCGGUCCCCGUAGCCUCGGUGGAAGCGGCCGCCCCGCUUUCUUUGCACCCAUCGUUCCCCUUCCUUGUUCACCAGGCUGAGCCCCGAGGAAGCAGCGAUGGAUGAAAUGUAAGGCAGGGGGAGAGUUUCCUUUUACUGGGGCUCGAAGCCGGGCUCGCAAAACGCGGGCUGCAAACCGAAGCGUCAUCGAGAGGCCUCGUGAACACUCCGGGAUGCUGCUGGACGAGCUGGAGCGUGGAGCCCCGCGGGGCGCGUCGCUGACACCUCGGGAGGAGCUUCUCAUGACGGUGGUUUUCAGUGUGUGGUCUGCAGAGUCCUCGGGGGCUCGUUGAUGUUGCUCGGAGCUCUGACCAAAGCCGCUGUCGCAGGCUUGAGCUUGGUCGUCGGCAGCUUGAGCUGAGCCAGAGGAGAAUCUGGGUCUGCAAAAGGAACAUAAACAUCGUGGCUUUGUCGGUCAGGAAGGCUACGCUUACACUCCAGCUCCGUCCUAGCGGUGGGGCUUGUGGCCUAGCAGCCCUGUCCGUCCCUGGUCUUCUCGGGGUGGUUUUGCUGCUGGUUCAGGGAAGGAAAACCCGAGGAAGCCUUGACCUAGACCGUGUCUCCUAUUGCUGCCAUGGAAGCUGAUUGCAAUUAGCUGCUCCUGAGCUUCCAGGGCAGGUUUGAUACAGGUUUGGUUUCUGAAGUGUCCAAAGUGUUGUUCCUUUCUCGGCGUGACUCACAGCUCAGUACUUGUUUGCUUUUCAGCAAUGUUUCGGUCUUCGCCUUCUGAAACGUUAACGUUGUCUUCAUUCCAGGUGUUUCAGAGGUGUUAAUUUGCAGGGAAUCAUUGCUCUCGUGACGGGCGAACGGCAGCCGCGCUGUUUGCCAGAGCAGCGUAACAUGCGCGGGGAUGCUACAACUUCCUUAAAACGUCCUUCCUUAAGAGGCUUCUGUGAAAAUGGUAACCAUCCCACCUUCUGGUCUCUCCCACAUCAGAGAAAUGGGAAAGGUUGCUGGAACUGCAAUGGUUAGGGCCUUCCUGGGGUUUUUUAAUCUGUUCGGAAUAAUAUUGGACAGGGUCUGGGUUGCUUAGCUGUGAAAGAGGGAGGCUGGCUUCCCUUCUGGGUGACCAGAAAUGGGGAAAUCCUGCUUGGGCCUCAGCUGACCAGCCUUGGGAUGGCUCCGUGCGAGGAAGGCUUGCACGGACAGCCGCCUGGCGCUGGGGACUGAGCAGUCGGAGGGGAAGCGCGCUGCCCAUCGGGGAAACCGUUUUAGCUUAAAUGGUCUCGGGUGUAUCAUGCAGCUGCGAAACCUAACCCUCCUCUGGGAGAAGCUGCGAGGAGCUGGGUCUGUUCAAGGCGCCGGGGCUCGCUCGGGCGGAUACGUCGCUCUCCCGAGGAGCCGGUGGAAGGGAGCCGGCACCGUCGCAGCGGCUGCCCCGUGGCAAACGCACCCCAUGAGGCAUGGGUGGCGACGCGGCGUGGAGCUGGAGUUCGGCAUUAGCUGGGUUGGAGAAGGGAGAGGGGUGAAGACGAUGGAGCGCCUGUUUCCACAGCGGCUACGGUGAGCCUGGAGAAGCUGCCCCACGCCACUGUGUCCUCCCUUCUCAGAGCAGAGAGUAAUCCGUCACCGCUGCUGUCGUCUCAGCACCACGCUUAAAACCUCUCCCGCAGCUGAAUAUUGGGUUGCCUGGCAUUUGCCAGCAGUUCCUGUUCUUGUCGAGAACGCUUGCCGACGGUGUUCCCGGGUUCAAACGUGGCUGGUGAGAGCAGGUUUGGGGGAGCGAGCGGGGUGCUUCAGCCACUCAUCCUCCUUCCAGCCAGGGGACCAUGCCAGCCUGCAGCCGCUGCUCGCCGUCUUUGGCCUGGUGCUCUGGAAACUCAGCCUCAAAGAGGCUUUUAACUUCAUUACGGUGAACAAACACCGGUCUGCUCUGCCCCCCAGCAUGUAUUUUUCGCAGCUGGAGCUUGCCGAACCACAGGCCGAAGAUCUUUUGUGAAGCAUAACCCGCUGUAAUUCUCGGCGCUCAGCUUGCCCCGUAGCACCAGGCAAGCCCCGACGGGCGAGUGCCGAGGCUGGCAGCGCCUGAUCUUGCCCCCCGCG